GAUGAACGCUAGCGGCAGGCUUAAUACAUGCAAGUCGAGGGGCAUCAAGGUACACGAAAGUGUAUUGUUGGCGACCGGCGGACGGGUGAGUAAUAGGUAGGUAACCUACCUCAUACUGAGGCAUAGCUGGGAGAAAUUCCAGGUAAUUCCUCAUGAGGUUAUAUGACACAUGUGAUAUAAUCAAAGGUAUCGCAAGGUACUGGUAUGAGAUGGGCUUACUGACCAUUAGCUAGUUGGUGAGAUAAGAGCUCACCAAGGCGAAGAUGGUUAGGGGUUUUGAGAGAGAGAUCCCCCACAUUGGAACUGAGAUACGGUCCAGACUCCUACGGGAGCAGCAGUAGGGAAUAUUGGGCAAUGGGCGGAAGCCUGACCCAGCCAUGCCGCGUGAAGGAAGAACGGCCUUAUGGGUUGUAAACUUCUUUACUAUGCGACUAACUAGAUUUACGAGAUAAUUCUAUAGAAUGUAGCAUAGCAAAAAGCACC
rnacentral:rRNA from 1 species